GGGGGAGUAGUUCAGUGGUAGAACAUCGGUCUCCAAAACCGAUGACGAAGGUCCGAUUCCUUCCUCCCCUGCCA
rnacentral:tRNA from 1 species